CUCGUGGGCGGUUUGUCGCGUCGUCUGUGAAAUUCUGCAGCUUAACUGCAGGCGUGCAGGCGAUACGGGCAGACUUGAGUACUACAGGGGAGACUGGAAUUCCUGGUGUAGCGGUGAAAUGCGCAGAUAUCAGGAGGAGCACCGGUGGCGAAGGCGGGUCUCUGGGUAGUAACUGACGCUGAGGAGCGAAAGCGUGGUAGCGAACA
rnacentral:rRNA from 1 species